GAUGAACGCUGGCGGCGUGCCUAAUACAUGCAAGUCGAGCGAACAGACGAGGAGCUUGCUCCUCUGACGUUAGCGGCGGACGGGUGAGUAACACGUGGAUAACCUACCUAUAAGACUGGGAUAACUUCGGGAAACCGGAGCUAAUACCGGAUAAUAUAUUGAACCGCAUGGUUCAAUAGUGAAAGACGGUUUUGCUGUCACUUAUAGAUGGAUCCGCGCCGCAUUAGCUAGUUGGUAAGGUAACGGCUUACCAGGGCAACGAUGCGUAGCCGACCUGAGAGGGUGAUCGGCCACACUGGAACUGGGACACGGUCCAGACUCCUACGGGAGGCAGCAGUAGGGAAUCUUCCGCAAUGGGCGAAAGCCUGACGGAGCAACGCCGCGUGAGUGAUGAAGGUCUUCGGAUCGUAAAACUCUGUUAUUAGGGAAGAACAAAUGUGUAAGUAACUAUGCACGUCUUGACGGUACCUGAUCAGAAAGCCACGGCUAACUACGUG
rnacentral:rRNA from 1 species